rnacentral:sRNA from 1 species
AUAGAUUUAAGAAAAAUUAUUUCUAAUGCCCUUUCCAUGAUGCCCCUUUUCAACUCUACCCUUUUUUUUAGUCAAUUUUAUUUCUACCCUCUUUAAAUUUUUAAUGACCAUUUUACCCUAUUUGAAAAUUGUUUUAGGUUAACAAAAUGAAAUAUUAAUAUUUUUUUGCCUAAAAUAUUCGAAAAUAAAUUUUCCGUCAAAAGUUUCCCGCCAAACUUUGUUUUCCAAUAUUAUUUUUCCCGCAAAAAAAAUAUUUUGGCGGGAAAAAAAUUUACAAGGUAUUUUAAAAGGGUUUUAAAAGAUUUAUAAGGGAUUUUAAAAGGGUUUGAAAAUAAUUACAAGGGAUUUUAAAAGGGUUUUAAAUAUUUACAAAUGAUUUUAAAAUAUUUACAAUGAAUUUUAAAAGGGUUUUAAGAGAUUUACAAGGGAUUUUAAAGGGAUUUAAAAGAUUUACAAAGGUUUUCUAAAGGGUUUAAAAUUGUUUUAAAAGGGUUUUAAAAUUGUUUUUAAAGGGUUUUAAAAUAUUUACAAGGGAUUUUUAAAGGGUUUUAAAAGAUUUACAAGGGAUUUUAAAAGGGUUUUAAAAGAUUUAAAAGGGAUUUGAAAGGAAUUUAAAAUAUUUACAAAGGUUUUUAAAAGAUUUUUAAAGGAUUUAAAAUUGUUUGAAAAGGGUGUUAAAAUAUUUACAAGGGAUUUCAAAAGGGUUUUAAAAGAUUUAGAAGGGAAUUUAAAAGGGGUAUAAAAUAUUUACAAGGGAUUUUAAAGGGCUUUAAAAGAUUUACAAAGGUUUUUUAAAGAUUUUUAAAGGGUUUAAAAGUAUUUUAAAAGAUUUACAAGAGAUUUUAAAAGGGUUUUAAAAAAUUUUACAAGGAAUUUUAAAAGGGUUUAAAAGAUUUACAAGGGAUUUUAAAAGGUUUUUAAAAUAUUUACAAGUGAUUUGAAAGGGUUUUAAAAGAUUUACAAAGGUUUUUUAAAGAUUUUUAAAGUGUUUAAAAGUGUUUUAAAAGAUUUACAAAGGAUUUUAAAAAAGUUUUAAAAGAUUUACAAGAGACUUUUAAAGGUUUUAAAAGAUGUACAAGGGUUUUUAAAAGAUUUUUCAAGGAUUUACAAGAAGACCCUUUAAAAACUGUUGUAAAUCUUUUUAAAACCUUUUAAAAUCCCUUGUAAAUAUUUUAAAACCCUUUUAAAAUCCCUUGUAAAUAUUUUAAAACCCUUUUAAAAUUCUUUUAAAAUCCGUUGUAAAUCUAUUUCCUGACAAAAAAAAUUUACAAGGAUUUUUAAAAGCAUUUGUUUUGGCUGAGGAAAAUUUUGUUAAAAAAAAAAAAAUGGCGG